rnacentral:rRNA from 1 species
ACGAACGCUGGCGGCGUGCUUAACACAUUCAAGUCGAACCGAAAGGCCCUUCUUUUUUUUGUUUCUCUUUUUGCGAACGUUUUAUUUACACUUUAUUUACCUUCCCUUUUCUUUUGUUUUACUUCCUGAAACUUGGGCUUAUACCGGAUAGUAUCUCCUUCUGCUUGUUGGGGGUUGGAAAGUUUCGGCGGUUGGGGAUGGACUCGCGGCUUAUCAGCUUGUUGGUGGGGUAGUGGCUUACCAAGGCUUUGACGGGUAGCCGGCCUGAGAGGGUGACCGGCGACAUUGGGACUGAGAUACGGCACAGAAUGCUACGGGAGGCAGCAGUGGGGAAUAUUGCAGAAUGGGAGGAAGCGUGAUGAAGCAACGCCGCGUGCGGGAUGACGGGCUUCGGGUUGUAAAAAGAAUUAGAAUGUGAAGAAGAGUGAGUGACGGUAAUGGGUAAAGAAGCACCGGCUAACUACGUG